AGCCCCCCUCAAGAUGAGAUUUCCCAAUUCGUAAGACCCCUUGAAGACGACGAGGUUGAUAGGUUCGGGGUGGAAGCACAGCAAUGUGUGGAGCUGACGAAUACUAAUCGGUCGAGGGCUUAUCCUAUA
rnacentral:rRNA from 1 species